UGGAAUAACCUAAUUCCCUCAUUCUUCUCAUUCAAGCCGCUUCCAGGAUACGUUUCUUUUACAAAACCCUAGCAUCGGCAUCUUUAAUCGCCACCAUCACAAUCUUGGUUAUUUGUCUGUCACCGCCACGUUUUACAAACCCUAAAUAUCAACACAGAUUCAGCAUUUGUUUGAAGGUUUAAAUCGAACAAUUGAUAUGAUGCUGUUAUAUAGAAGAAAUAUAUAUAUAUUUCUUGUAAAAAGGUUGCAAGGUUGCAUAUGGAGAGCACGGGUCAGAUGGUUCAGGCUGCAUAUGGUAGACGGGUUAGAUGGUUCAGGCUGCAUAUGGUAGAGUACAGGUUAGAUGGUUCAGGACUUCAGGCUGCAUAUGGUAGAGUACGGGUCAGAUUACAAGUUCCAACCCCUUUACAAACCCUAAGCCCGCUGUACAGUUAAAUGCUAAGACCUUUGCAAAUAUUAAUGAUGGAAAGCAUGCUCCAAAAGACAUAAGGGAGUUAGUGUAGGGAAUUUUAGAUACUGAUCAUUUUUUUGUGUUAACCAAAUCAAGUUACCAAGGUAAUAUUAGAUAAUAGUAGUGUGGAAAGAAAAUCCAUCAUGUAGGGUUAUUCUUAAUACUAUUUUACAAUUUUUUUUCUUUUGCAUGUAUUGGUAAAAAUUGAAUUGUACGUUGCAUUUUCUUGCAAAUUUAACUAAUUGACCCAUUAGAGAUAUGAACAGAUAUGAUGGUUCAUCA